AUCGGCUUGCCAAUCGUUGGCAGAUUAACAUCUUCAUCAAGCUUAGUUUGCCUCACGGCCGUGGAACAGUAUUCGCGACUCGUGCAGUUGUUGUGCCCGGUCGCUCGCGAAUUAGGUCGUCGAAUCCUUGGACUAUAAUAAUUAAUACCUGAGACCGUCAUGGAGUUGCGUGUGGAAUGGAGGAGAAUUGAUAUAGUAAUCUUCCUGGCGUAACACGAAUGCUGCGUAAUGUGUCAUCUGAAUGCGUCAUAUCUAUUCGGGUCUACCCGUUGAUACGCGGUAACGUUGACUAUCGCGGGUAAUCACGUCUCACUUACGUCAACGCAGUAAUUUUCAUUUAAUGACGGCAAACUGAUUUACACCUGGCAAAAGUGCAAGGCGUGCGAGAGAAACGCUCUCGCGAAGUGUUAUUUAUUCUUCCGUACGUUUCUCAACCAGUCUGACGGAUUUCGCGACAGUAGCCAACUCUGUGUUUUCGGGCCUUCAGCUUCUCUUUUUCGCUGCUCGCUCGUUACAGAGAAUCACAUUACACGGUUGGUUAUACAGAAUUACACUUCUAGAGAAAGACUCGCCCGACGUCCGGUCUUAUCAUUUCCGGCCUCACCUUUUCUUGUCUGCGUAUGAUGUGUGACAAUGGCGACGAGCUUCCUGUCGAGAACGAAAGUCAUGCAAGUGCCGUUAUACUCUGAUAAGGAAAGAAAAGGCGUGUAAUUAUAUCGUUUAUGUAUGUGUAUUCAUAAAUAUAUGAGUCCGGAAGAAAUUUCAAUUGCGGAAUCUUUUAUAAACGCGGAAUCAAAAUUUUUCUCUCACAAAAAUCUCCAGAGAUGCCUUGCUUAUCAGCUUGAUACUUAACGUCGACGAAUGAAGAAUUCCAGCAAGUUACGCUUCGAAAAUGCAAAUGCGUAGUAGCGAGUGCGUAACGGCAAGUGCGUAAUAGCAAAUUUUAGCAAGUGUCUAACGAAACGUUGUUUUCGAAAUUCCAGUUUAACGAAAAUUCCAAUUGGCAGAGAAUCUGUCGUGAUCAUUUCACUCGGUGUGGCAGCAAGACCCAAAUGUAUGUGUGAAUUUCAUUAAACAGGUGCGAUGUUUGAUUUAUUGGCAGCUGUAGUCAUGCUUGAGACAAAGUUUCAUCACCGCGAGAGCAAUAGCAAGAAGCUAAAGUAAAAUAUAACGUAAAUAUAACAUUUCUGUGGCUUCUGAUAUUUUCUUCGUAAACAGACAUCAUUUUUGGAGUUUCCUCUCUUCAUAAGGCAGUAACGCACAGCUCUGUUUUUUAAAUUCUACAUUAGAAAGUGCGUAGAAAGUGUUAUUUCGCAUAUUGAAACGCCAGUAAUUAUCGUGUAUAUAACAUUUAUUAAUUAUUUAUUAAUUACAUAUCACAGAUAUAUUUCUAUUCGACGCGGAAAACUUGUAUUUGAUAUAACGAUCGAAAAAUUCUCAUAUAAAUCGAUGCGGGCGAAACGGUCGAAAUAAAUCGUGAACGAGAGGUCAACUGAGCGCGAAAGGUAUUCAAGCGAUUAAUCGUACCGCCAUAUCGGUAAUUGUAAUAUAGUUCGACGAACGAUAAACGCGCCCUUUUUCCUGUUACAACGGGAAACAGCUUCGGUGCCGUCCGGUUGUUGCGGAAACAAACUUGUGGGGAGACCGCAAAUCAAUUCUUUUAUCGUCCAGACGAGAAACUUUGUGCGAUUAUUGCAGUUACGAUUCACCUAUGAAAAAUGUUCUAUUUCCCAUACUUAAAAUUAUUUUACAUACAUGGGCGAAUAAAGUUUUAUAAUUUCAUGUUGCUGACGCCGCUGAUCAUGGCUUAGCUGAAAAUGUUUUGCUUCUGUAGUUAAAAAUUCGCUUCUGUAACUAAAACUUCAGUUACUGUUGCUAGAUGUAAAGGUGCCAUAUCUAACAUAUGUCCGCUAUAACUAAACUUGUCCAUACGCUUGCUAAAUUUCCGUUAUAACAUAUAGACACCUGCAAAUUUAGCUACAGUAGACACAUAUCGAGUAUGACACCUAGCAAUAAUAACUAAAGUUUUAGUUACGGUAGCAAAACAUUUUCAGCUAAACCAUGAUUAGUCAUGGCAGCAACAUCUAUUUCCGUGUGCAUUCGUUUCUGCAUUACACUGGCAUUAGUUCAUGAUUAUUGAAGCUCGUGAAUUCGCACAAAUACGCCAGCUUGAGAAAAUGCAUUUCUGGUACACGGCUUGUGCGGCAAAAGUUACGAGAGCUUCGAGUUUAUUUCGGCCGACUGAAACUGCAACUGUUCUCCUUUUUCCUCUCCGAUUAAGACACUUUCGCACGACAUUACGUACAUAAUGCACCGACCCAUUUGAAGGGUUAAUUUCGGUCAGGGUAAAGCUCGUGCAUUACUCUCUCGCGGAUAAUCGGCUCUCGUUAACGGUGGGAAAACAUCGUGUGAAAAAAAGAAACGUCGUUCUGCGAGCACGCUAACGUGGAAGAUGUCUCGACUAAUGAGAAUGUUAAUGGCGAAGUUCCACGGUGAUUUCGUGGAUCAAUCUAUCCUCUUGUGAUCAAUCUCGGCGAGGUGAUUCGUUUCGUGGUUAUUUGUCGCUGCUUCGCCGUAAAAGACAAAGUUGUACGGUGAUUUUCUUUCUUUCCAUCUCUCACACGAAGGUAUUUCUCGCCUAUUUCAUAAUGGAGUAUUAUUUGAAACUAUCGUGUUAACGACCGUGGUACCAUACUCAUACGCUUCUUUAGCUAUGUUUCAACAUUUAUGCUCGUGUAGGCUCCCGCGUGCAACGUUCGUUCGAUAAUUAGGUGAUUUCAAGAUCAAGGGCGGAAAGCGAGAGAACGGUUAUUAGUAAUUCUUAGCGAGAAAAUUGCAUACGUUUUACGAUAUGCAACCCAGUAAGCCGUGGAAUUUUUAAUUAACACUUAUCGAUCGGAGGAAUUACGGUAUAAAGGCAUCGUCGGAAACAUCUCAAUAUAUUUUAUAAUCAUGUUACCCGCACGCAAGGAGAUAAAGUUAUUUACUCGCAUAAUGGCGCAAGUAAAUCCCGAUAGAUGUAUUCUGAUAGAAAUUGAAUCUCGCGGUUGUCUAGGCAUGAGGUAGUAAAUUUGCAUCUAAUGUCGCUAUUAGCUAAUAAUGUAACACUCACUUCUCCUAUGGUGGCUAAGUAAUGGCUGGAUAAAUAAGUUAGCUGAUCGAGCAAAAGAAAUUACAGUUACGAUCGUUUAGGAUGUGUGAAAUGUGUUAAAUUUAACACCCUAUUUUUCACUACGUAUUUAGUAUAACUAAAUUAUAUAUAUUUGAAUAGACAACACCGUCUAUUCUAUCAAAUUAAAUACAUAAUAGUUAGACAACGGUUCGAUCAUACAACGGUUCGAUCCUACAUUUUAGCGAAUAAUCAGCCAAUAACGAGGUGGAAAAUUUGACCUUGCCUGUUACCAUACUAGCUAAACCAGCUUUGAAUUCAGACCGAGUGGAUACAUUUCUGCUCGGACAGAUAUCGCCGGUUUCCUCGUCGAAUUUUUCGAACGGAAGUCUCUCCCUUCUCCGGGAAGGUCGAUUUCCGAUCGCUCCUUUCACGUAGACGCGAGCACGAUCUUCACCUUCCAUCUCCUCGGGUACAUAUCGCGAAUUCUGAUCGCCCACGUCGAGCGAAACAGCCGCGCGCCGCCAAUUGCGCAAUACUUAUCACAAUAUCAAGGAGCGGGGGCGGCCACGGCGGCUAGGGCUAUCUCUCUCCCACCACUGUGGCAUUGUGUUAACCGGCGUGCGUCUAGUGUAGGCCGGCGGCGUAUUAUAUCGGCCGCGAGUUAUGCAGCGCGGUAAUUGCGCGCGACUCGGCUUAUGCACAAGGACAGGCCGCGCCUUGCGCAAUGUGCGCGCUAUCCGCGUGUCUAAUGGCUUAUCCCGCCUAGACGAGGAGGAAAAGAGCGAGACGCGCCGAUCUGGGGAAACGGGAGAAAGAAGCGAGAUUGGCAUGUACGUUUCGCACACGCGUAAUCGGACUCAUACCCGGCAACCUGGCGCAUUCUUACCUCUUCGAUCAGCGGCGGACGUUUCGUUCGCGAUCGGUGGCGGGGUCGCCGUCGAGAACGUUCUCACCGGAGGGGGCAGCGCCUAUUUUAGAAAUUCCCCGCGCGGAUUCCGCGACUUUUAUCUCCUCCUAGUGAAGGCGCAAGGUGUCCCGCAUGGUAACCGCGCGCGGCGCCUUUCGGACAACUCGAUUCGGGCCUCGAUUAUUUCUGGGCGAAAAUAAUCGAACCGGUCGCUUAUACGGCGAGCUGCUUAUGCAUUAUUUAUGAAGCGGACUGUAUAACUGUAUAUCCGUACGUUUGAGAAAGUUCUUUGAUCGAUGUUAAUUUUAUUUGGCGAACCUCUUUCCUUCCUUUCCUAGCGAGCGCGCUCGGCUCGAGUGGGAGAGAGAUGCACGUUGCGACCUGUUGGAUCGUAUGCUAAGAUUCGACGCGAUUUAAGGAUGUAUUGCCCGUCAGUGUUGUAUUUUCAGUGGCGCGUCAAGAAGGAGGACACUCGUAAAUUUAGUAUUUGUCGAGCGAAAUUACAUCCCUAUGCAUUUAUUUCGCUAUCUAAAUAAUAAAUGUUAACGUUGAAACGAAGUCGACGUAGACAUAUGUAUACUGAAAAGAAAAAAAAUAGUUACGUUCAAGUAAAUAUUAUUUGAAUUUG